AUUUUGUCCGCCGCUCAUCUUCUCAUCCUCUCUCUCUAUGGCGAUUCCUGGCGAUUCAUCAGGCCUCUCUCUCGGAUCUCGCCAGAUCUCUCACCAGAUCUAUGAGGAUUUCACCAGAUCGAUGAAGUUUUUUCAGGUUUCAAUAGAUAGGGUUUUGAUCGAUUGGUAGAUCCUUUGUAAUAAUCUAUUUACCAAGCCCAAUAUUGGUCCGCAAAUUAAUGCAUCAACAGUUGGGAAAGCUCUGGUUGUGGAUAUCUGUUGGAGCACUCCUUGGGUUUUUGAUUAUCUUCAACAUAUUCUUUAUCGUAGCACUAACUUCCCUGAAUCCCCCGGUGUGAUGCUAAACCUGUGAUCAGAGAGGAAAAUGAUAUAAAGAAUUCAAAAAAUAACAGCUUACAGUAGGCUCAGCUGGGAUGGUCAAUCACAUGAGCUUUGGUGGACUUCCCGUGAAAACUGAGACAGCUGAAGAAGCUGAUGAACUUAUGAGAGUAGAUGAAAAGGCAUCUGAAGUUGAGGUAGAAGUUCUUUCAGCCCCUCCAAAGUUAGUUUACUGUAAAUUAAUCUUGCGCUUCACUAGAAAGCUAUUGGUGGCUGUAGCAGACAAGUGGGAUAGUCAUGUUCUGGUCAUGGACAAAGUUGCUCCACAAAACUGGAAGGGAGCUUCAAACUGCUUUAGGCACAACAAAGUGGCAGAGACAAGAAAAAGUGUGUUUGUGAGAGAGAGAGAGAGAGCGACGGGAAGGAGAGUCCUUGGAGAAGGUAGAGGUGGCAAAGGGAACUAGGGUUCUAGCGACGAAUGUCUAUCUAGGUACUCAUUGAGAGUUUGAGACCUCGAAUCCAUCUAUUGCUUAACGAAUCAGGGAUAAUCUUGACAGGUUAUAAAGCUGGAGCCUCAUAUACGGAUGAAUGGGUCAAACGGUUCAAACUGGCUACAUACGCAAGUUUUGAGGGGACGGGAUGACGGUGGUCAGGCAUCACUCUGGAGCAUAUUUCCAAAAGCAGUUGUCUAUUGUCAUGUUAAAGAGGCCAAGCAAAAUGUAUCAAGUUAAUUUGGCACACAAAGCGGAAGGAGGGAGCCUAAUGACUUCAAGAACUCCAACACAAACCAUGCUGAAUAUCGAAAUGAAGAGGCCAGUCCUGAUUCGUUGAAGCUGGGUCAACCCAUUUUAUUGACCUGUGAGUCUCCUGGCCACGCGAACUAUAACACGGUCGUAUACAGGGACCCAGAAUACUACGCUUAUAGUGUCGAAAAUCCCGAGUGAAGCUGGUGGAAUCUCGAAUAGGUUACUCAUUUGUGAGUAAACUGUGGCGAACAUGAUACCCGUGGCCCAAUAUUGGAAGCAACCGUAACACUGCUUUCAGUUCCUCAACCUGACUCACUGAGCAAAGCCUCCAUGGGUCUAUCGACCCGUUUGUAUGAUCCGUGGGUGCAACCACAGCUGCCUUAUCCAAAAAACUCCACUGGUGUUUCUAAGACUACACAAGGGUAAGGAAUGGUAACUCACACAAACAUGGAAGCUUGUGGAUGAAUAUUCUGAUGAUGUAGUCCUUGCCUCCUUGGCUUGGCUCUAAACCCAUCAAGAAUGCGACACCAUUCAAGGGAGGUAGAUUGCACACAAAUGGAAGAGUGAAAAUCGGUCACAACUCAACAUCUUGUAAUGAUGGCCAAAGGACAAUCGGCAUCAUAGACUGGAUGAGAUUUUUUUCUUUCUAUUUUUACUUUAAUUUGGUCCGUCUUUGGGUUUUUAACAACUAAACUUGGACUGUCUUUUGGUUUGUUUAACUUUCUAUUUAAGUUUGAUAUUAUGUGGUAUUUCGACUUUUGAGCGGAGAAAGAAAUAGUUGUUUGGUUUACAUACGAACUGAUUCAGAAAUGGUUGCUUUAUUUUAGUUUAGUGCUGAUGUUCAUUUUGGGUAAUUAACAAUAAGUAUGAAAAUACUUGCAGAUGUUGAUCGUUGUGAUCAAUUUGAAGUUUGUUUUUAUUAUUGCCAUUCCAUAAUGAUGAUUAUAGAAUCAAGUUACAAAAAAGUAGGUUGGCUAAUCACUGUAUUUUGGUUAACUGUUGCAUUUCAGUUUGAUGCUGCUGGUGUUUUUCGUUUAUCCUUUAUUGCCUGCGAGAUCUCAAAAAACAUGCUGGAAAUAUUAUUGCAGUUAUUAUUGUUAUUUAAUAUGAAGUUUGUCUAUAAUAUUGACAUAAUAUGAAGUGGGUUAGUAUGAUGGUGAGAUGGCCUUUAUUAUUGCGUUUUUUAUGUAGUUUUCUACUCUCAAAAUGAUAAUUGUUUAGUUGAGACGGCCUUUAUUAUUGCCAUCUUAAAUUAUUCAUAUUAUCUAUUGAAAAACCAGGAUUUUUAAUGGGUUGUCAUGUGCUCAAAUUUAGAUCUUAAUCUGUUGGCCAUUGUGUUGGUGGAAUUUAUAAGUAGAAAGUGACAUUGUAGUUGCUGAUGUCUUCGAUCAAUAAUAAAGUUUACCCAAAAAGUCAAAAUAAUAGGCCGGAUUGAAGUAUAGAUGAUCACGUUUAAGUUAAUAAAUAAAAGUAGUACAAACCAACAUUAGUGUUAGAUUUCAUAAGUGUUACAAAACUAAUACCAUAAAUCCUAAACUUCUUACUACCCAACGUUAAGCUCCAAACCUAUUACUUUUAACAUACCAAAGGGUUCAUUUACGUAAUUAACUCCUACAUUUAUUUACUUCUGUUUGUUUUAUUAUGUCCUAAUGUUAUUCUUGUUUUAAAAUAAGUGGGUGUUUGGGAUUCCUUUUGAAAAUGACUCUUGGAGCUAAUUUUAACUUAUUAACUUCUUAGAAGUUAAAAGAAAUCCCAAACAUCAUAUCAUCUGAGGACUUUUGAAGUCAAAAGGAAUCCCAAACACCCCUUGAAAAGGACUUUUAUG
rnacentral:lncRNA from 1 species